rnacentral:rRNA from 1 species
AUUGAACGCUGGCGGCAGGCCUAACACAUGCAAGUCGAACGAGUGGCGGACGGGUGAGUAAUGUCUGGGAAACUGCCUGAUGGAGGGGGAUCACUACUGGAAACGGUAGCCAAUAACGCAUACCAUCGGAUGUGCCCAGAUGGGAUUAGCUAGUAGGGGGGGUAAAGGCUCACCUAGGCGACGAUCCCUAGCUGGUCUGAGAGGCGGACGAGCCACACUGGAACUGAGACACGGUCCAGACUCCUACGGGAGGCAGCGGUGGGGAAUAUUGCACAAUGGGCGCAAGCCUGAUGCAGCCAUGCCGCGUGGAUGUAGAAGGCCUUCGGGUUGUAAAGUACUUUCAGCGGGAAGGCGUUACCCGCAGAAGAAGCACCGGCUAACUCCGUGCCAGCAGCCGCGGUAAUUC